UAACUAACUAAGCAAACCUAUACCUAUUCUAAAACAAUGACUCAUCAAAGCUAUUGGAUGAGAUGUUAGUAUAAAUAGAGGAAUUGUGGCAGUGAAUUUCAUGCAUGAAAUAUUGGGAAAAAAUAAAUGUUUCUAAAAGUUUUGAUCAGAGAUAAGCUUACAGUGCAGAUUAAUUGGUAAUCAAAUCACGGUUCAUUAACGGAAAGCAUAUCAAGGUUAAGGUUGAGGUUAGUAAGAUGGUGGAGACGGAAACAGCUGUGGCGGGUUGGCUGCAAUAUGUUGAAAUAGCUAGCUAUUAUAUUUUUAAAAAAUAUGUCAUAUAUUUUGAGUAUGUAAAAUGCUAGUUAAAGAUUAUAUAUAUGAUAUUAUUAUUAUGCAA